AUUGAACGCUGGCGGCAGGCCUAACACAUGCAAGUCGAGCGGAUGAAGGGAGCUUGCUCCUGGAUUCAGCGGCGGACGGGUGAGUAAUGCCUAGGAAUCUGCCUGGUAGUGGGGGAUAACGUCCGGAAACGGGCGCUAAUACCGCAUACGUCCUGAGGGAGAAAGUGGGGGAUCUUCGGACCUCACGCUAUCAGAUGAGCCUAGGUCGGAUUAGCUAGUUGGUGGGGUAAAGGCCUACCAAGGCGACGAUCCGUAACUGGUCUGAGAGGAUGAUCAGUCACACUGGAACUGAGACACGGUCCAGACUCCUACGGGAGGCAGCAGUGGGGAAUAUUGGACAAUGGGCGAAAGCCUGAUCCAGCCAUGCAGCGUGUGUGAAGAAGGUCUGCGGAUUGUAAAGCACUUUAAGUUGGGAGGAAGGGCAGUAAGUUAAUACCUUGCUGUUUUGACGUUACCAACAGAAUAAGCACCGGCUAACUUCGU
rnacentral:rRNA from 1 species